rnacentral:rRNA from 1 species
AUGAAGGCAAGAAAAAGAGAAGGCAGUACAAAAAUGGGCGUCUGGCCUAGCAACAACUCGAUUUGCUGUAUUGCUGCCUUUGCCUCCUUCAAUAGAGUCAGCACCUUCCUCCUCACCUCUCCCUCAACUCCGCCGGCCAUGAAGACCGCCGCCUCCACCACAGCUCUCGGCCACGAUCUAUUGGACGGCUCCUGUCGUGAGGUGGAGAAGAUCGAUGAGAGAGGGAGAGGAAGCGUUGUGGGAGGCGGGGGUCAGCAAGGGAGGUGGGGAUCGAUGGGGAUCAGCGAGGAAGAAGGGAGAUCGGCGGGGAUCAGCGAGGCGGGGAAGGAGGUGGGGAAAGAAGCGACAAGAAAGAGAUAA